rnacentral:misc_RNA from 1 species
AACUAUCAAGCCCAGCUUGGAUUUGAAAGCUUAAGCACUGCUUAACUUUUUAAUGACAUUGGCGAUUAAACCAACACGGUGACUCGUUCGUUGUUUAAUCUGCCUUAUUAUCAUCUUUUUAAA